rnacentral:misc_RNA from 1 species
UACGAGUGCCUCAAGCGUUAUCCGGAAUCAUUGGGCGUAAAGGGUGUGUAGGUGGUUAUAUUAGUCUUCUGUUAAAUUCUUCGGCUCAACCGGGGGCAUGCAGGGGAAACGGUAUGACUAGAGGGUGCAAGGGGUCUGCGGAACUCAUAGUGUAGCGGUGAAAUGCGUUGAUAUUAUGGGGAACACCAAAAGCGAAGGCAGCAGACUAGGGCAUUCCUGACAUUGAAACACGAAAGCGUGGGUAGCGAAUGGG